AAGCCAUGAUGGGGGGCACUUGCGUAGGAGAUCCUUGAAUCUCUCGUGUGCUUCAAAAAAAGUGUCUCCGAGUCCCCUUGCAGGAAUGCAGAAAUUUCUUGCCUCAAUCU